rnacentral:lncRNA from 1 species
CCAAUAAUGCAUUAGCAUCCCAGUUUUCCCAUAUCUUUUCCAACACCUGACAAUUUCCAUUUUUGCCAUAUGAUAGGCUUGAGGUGGUAACUCCAAGUUGUUUCAAUUUGCAUCCCUCCUAUGAAUAGUGAUUUAGAGCAUUUUUUCAUAUGAUUGUAGAUAACUUUGAUUUCUCUGGCUGAAAACUAUUCAUAUCCUUUGAUCAUUUAUCAAUUGGGGAAUGACUUAUAUUUUUAUAAAUUUGGCUCAGUUCUCUAUAUAUUUGAAAAAUAAGGCCUUUAUCAGAGAUAUCCCCCUCCCAGUUUUUCUGCUUUCUUUAUAAUUUUGGUUGCAUUUGUUUUGUUUGUGCAAAAGCUUUUGGAUUUUAUAUAAUCAAAAUGAUUUGUUUUACUUUUUAUGAUGCUCUCUAUAUCUUCUUUGAUCCUAAAUUCUUUCUUUAUCUGUAAAUCUGACAGAUAAUUUAUUCCAUGUUUUUCUACUUUACUCUCUAAACAUGCUUUAGGUGUAAAUCACGUACCCAUUUUGAUCUAAUCUUGGUAUAAGGUAUGAGGUAUUGGUAUUAUAAUCUUGGUAUAAGGUAUAAGGUAUAUGAGGUAUUAUCCAAUUUCUGCCAUACUAUUUUCCAGUUUUCCCAUCAAUUUUUGUCAAAUAAUAAGUUUUUGUUCCAAAAGCUUGGCUCUCUGGGUAUAUAAUAUACUUAGAUUACUAUGAUCAUUUAUUAUAAAGUAAUUUGUACCUAAUCUAUUCAACUGAUGCAAUACUUUAUUUCUUAGCCAGUACCAAAUUGUUUUUGAUAAUUACCACUUUAUAAUACAGAUUGAGAUCUAUUAUGAUUAGAUCAUCUUCUUUCUCAUUUUUUCCAUAGAUUCCCUUAAUAUCCUUGACCUUUUGUUCUCUCGGAUGAAUUUUGUCAUUAUUUUUUCUAGUUCCAGUUCUAGAAAAUAUUUUUGAUAGUUUGAUUGGCAUGGCACUGAAUAAAUAGGUUAAUUAAUAGAAUUGUCAUUUUUAUUAUAUUGGCUCAGGCUACCCAUGAGUAAUUAAUAUUUUUCUCCCCAUUGUUUAGAUCUGACUUUAUUUAUGUGAAAAGUUUUAUAGUUAUGUUUAUAUAGUCUCUGGGUUUGUCUUGGCAGUGAUAUUCCCAAGUAUUUUAUAUUGUCUACAAU